rnacentral:rRNA from 1 species
AGCUCCAAUAGCGUAUACUAAAGUUGUUGCGAUUAAAAAGCUCGUAGUUGGAUCUCAGGCAUGGGCGCACGGUCCGCCUCACGGCGGUCACUGUGUGUAUUUCCCAUCCUAGGCUUCCCGGUUGUUCAGCCCAUGGUGCUCUUCAUUGAGCGUUUUGGGUGGCCGGAAAUUUUACUUUGAAGAAAUUAGAGUGUUCAAAGCAGGCACGCCGCCUGAAUAAUGGUGCAUGGAAUAAUGGAAUAGGACCUCGGUUCUAUUUUGCUGGUUUUCGGAACACGAGGUAAUGAUUAAGAGGGACAGACGGGGGCAUCCGUAUUGCGGUGUUAGAGGUGAAAUUCUUGGAUCAUCGCAAGACGAACAACUGCGAAAGCAUUUGCCAAGCAUGUUUUCA